rnacentral:lncRNA from 1 species
UAUCACUAUGUCAGCCAUAAUAUUUCUAGGUUCAUAUAGAGGCAAGGAUAAGAGCAGUAGUAUGAUUAGAGAGGAAAGAAAAGGCUUCCAUGAAAAUACAAUGUAAUGCAUAUUCACCAAGAAGUAACAUAAUUAAAAUCACUACAUUAGAUCAUAGUAUGAUGAACCAUUUAUGCCGAGAUACACACGGAGCAACACAUAGAUUAAAGUCAAAUCUAACAAUAUAGGAAUGAUCAGAUCUCCACUCAAAGCAGGAUUUGGUACAUUUGGUCCCGAAGGAAAUCCCAGAUUAACCAGUGUGGUGUGGUAGAUAGUUGUUUACAUGAACUGACAGAAGUAUACCAAGUAACAAAGUUAGUUAUUUACAGCCAAGUUCAAUGCCUCCAAACCAAAGCUUAACUCCUAACAGGAAAUGUCUCCAAAUAUUGUGGCCAAACCUUGGAACCUGAAAAAAUGGAGAGAAAAACGAAAUCAGGAAAUGCAACAGAGAGGAAGUCACAUAGGAUAAAACUAUCUCAUUGCACCUGCCAUAUACAGUACUGCUAAGAAAUUUCAUUAUUAGUUAUUUUGUAGAUUUUUUUAUAGAAUUAGCUCACUGAUGAGAGCCAACUGAAACUUUGCUGAAAUACAAUUUGAUGUGAUAAACAUUUUUACAAUAGUUAAAGUCGAAUGUGCAUAUAUACUUAAGCAUGUACUGUGUAAAAUAUAUAUCUUCAGAACAGGAGAAUCAGCAUGCAUAUCAUCUGCAAUUUUUCUAAUAAAAAUGUUUCCGUACCAUCCAUCGUCUCAACCUUCUGAAUCCAACUAAUCCAAGUUCGCCAUCGCCG